UACGGAGGGGGCUAGCGUUGUUCGGAAUUACUGGGCGUAAAGCGCACGUAGGCGGAUGUUUAAGUCGGGGGUGAAAUCCCGGGGCUCAACCCCGGAAUGGCCUUCGAUACUGGACGUCUGGAGGUCGGGAGAGGCGAGUGGAAUUCCGAGUGUAGAGGCGAAAUUCGUAGAUAUUCGGAGGAACACCAGUGGCGAAGGCGGCUCGCUGGCCCGAUACUGACGCUGAGGUGCGAAAGCGUGGGGAGCAAACAGG
rnacentral:rRNA from 1 species